CUUGUGCUGCAGCUCCCAGUGUGGAGCACCGGAGCAGCAGGUGAUUUGUGCAGCAGAAGGGAAAGUGGGACCUGUCCAGAGCCACCCUGUGUGCCAGCCGGCUGCGGUCGCAUGACCAGUGGUUUAAGCGCUGCGACCCUUGGAUGCUCCUCUCCCCGCAUACGGCAGGAGCAGACCCACAGCGAGCACGACGCAGGCCACGUCUUGUCUCCAACGCAAGACGUUUAUGCGGUGGAUGAAACUCUGAAAGACCCCGGCGUGUUACUGAAGAGCGGGUGAGCAAACAGGACUGGAGGUGCCUGUGAGGGCAGACCUGCAGGGCUCGUCUCCCAAGCCAAAAACCUCUUGAACUCAGGACUCGCUGGCCUGCCAACCAGCCAGGGAGAAAGGGGCCAGGAGCAGCAACCCUUACACACCAGAGGAACAAGGGAGCACACGAGGCAGAUCUUCCCUGGGGAGAGAAGAAUCGUUUUCGCUCUGCAGCACCGCAAAAGGUAGUGACAGACCAUAUACAUUUGUUUAAAAAACAAUAUUUUUUUAAAGAUUGGGAUUUGCAGUUUUGGAGUUUCCUCCCCUGCAAUUCAUAUUCAAGGAUGACCCAAGUGCCCAUUAACAAUCAACCCACUGUGCAGCAACCCGGGAGCCUCAGCAAUUAUGAAGAUAAUGGUGCCCUCCUCCUCCUCUCCUGAGGAAUGGGGGAAGGGCAGGGAGUACGGGGAAAAGAAAAUCAGCAAAUAGAAUGAUAAUGUCAUUCCCUCUCACCGACAGCAACGGAAAGCUGCAAUUAGACUUCUCUGAUCAAAAUGCUAGAUAAAAUUCCAUGGAAUUUUUCAAGUAGGUCUAAAGCAUGAGAAAUACUUGGUUCAUCUUUACUAAGAAGUCACCUGCUUGUAAAACGCAGCGCACAUGCAAGGUGUUUGUGCGCAGAGGCAGUGUACGGAGCCGUCUUUACCCUUUGCAGGAGUUGUUCACAGCACCCCAGCGCCAUGUAAGCCCAGGGCGUGAGAUCACGUACAUCCGCAUCUGCCCAGGGUCCAAGCACCCGCAGGAACUUGUGAAUUUUCCUUGCACCACCCAAACCUGGGCAGAGCAGUGCUACUGCCCCUGUUACAGGCCGUGUCUAUGCUAGCGAGUUGCGCAGCACAGUACGAGCGGAGCUGCUGGGAGGUCUCGCUCCACACGAGGUCCAGCCUGGUGCCAGGAACCGUGUGCGCAGUGGGGGAGCCCUCGGUGCGCUCCCAGAGGGCACCUCUCUAGUUUCACCUGAAAGGAAUCUCGUUCGCAGGCAGAGACCCCAGCAUGCUGCAGCCCAAAGCACGCUAAGCACGGAUCAUCGGGAUCGCUUCAAAAGCGCUCCCCUGAUCCAAACUGAAGCACUGAUGCAGUGCCACCUCCUGCCUUGUCCAAGGGCUGGGAGACACCUGUGAUGGGUGAGGGAAGCGACGCUCAGUCCUCGGCCAGGAGCAGCCUGCUUUUCUAUCAGCCCUAUACCAAAAUUGCCAGGCAGCCAUCAGUUACGCAACGUGUAUUACAUGAGAAGAGGGAGUGGAUUUUUUAGUCAAAGCUAUCAAUUUCCUCCCUCUUUCUUUCAUCACUUCCUUUUAGUGUUCUCUGCAGCAAGGUGCUUUUCACCCCUAAUACUACUGGUUCACUACUGCGUUACUGCUGCUCUACGCUGGUGUAAUUCAAGGAAUUCACAGCAGGGCAGCAAAGAAUCAGCUCCUGAAUUAAGGCAAUAUAGCUUCAAAAGCCUUUGGCUGUCUCUUGCAAAGUGCUGCAGCCAGUUAGGACCAAGUUUCCUCUGCAGGGGGAAGAUAAAGAACAAUAAGACCAACCAUCAAUGCCAAAAUGUGGUGACUUAGAGCUCAGACACUUGGAAGAGGUUCCCAGACGCUUUUAGGGGCUCAGAUUUUUUUCUAAACCUGAAAUACAGCUAUUUGGAAAGCAGCUGCAUUGUGACAUUACAGCAAUCGUGCAUGCUUACCCUCUGAAGGGUUGUCUUGCAUGAUGAUGAACUCAGGCAGUCAUCAAUACUCACUUAGGAAUUGGCACCCGAAUU